rnacentral:rRNA from 1 species
AUUACUAAGCGGAGGAAAAGAAAACAAACGUGAUUCCCCCAGUAACGGCGAGUGAACAGGGAUGAGCCCAGCGUGAAGGCUAUGCUUCGUCAUGAUGCCAUAGCGGUGCCACGUUUAUACCCUUGCGACCGCAGGUAGGUGCGGAGGCACUGCAAGUCUCUUUGAACAGAGCGCCACAGAGGGUGACAGCCCCGUAGCAGAUCUUUGCCUAUCGCACCACCUCCUGCAAGGGUAUGCUAGAGUCAGGUUGCUUGAAAGUGCAACCUAAAGCAGCAGGUAGACUCCUGCUAAGGCUAAACACGACCGUCAGACCGAUAGCAAACAAGUACCGUGAGGGAAAGUUGAAAAGAACUUUGUAGAGAGAGUUAAAAGUACGUGAAACGGCUUGGAGGCAAACGAAUGGAGCUGCGAAGCAGGCGCUCGUGUAUCAAUUUGCCCUCGGCUCCUGCUUGUGUGCGUGUGUCUCGAAAGAGUACGCGUCCGCUUGUUAGGAGCAGGGRACAAGUGCACUACACUUGCGCACGAUGAUGUGGUGAGCAGUGGAACAGGGUCGCUGUGGUAUCAAUACGGGACUGAGGCGUACGGUUCUCCGCGGCUUCGGCCAACGAGUCCGGACUCACGUCUGGAUCCAGCAGACUCACAUCCACUGUUUUAGCGAGUCUCUCGUAUUCGAGAGUACGGGCGGGAGCAGAGGAGCGGGACAUGACAGCGGUCUCAGGCUUGAAGUCAGUAGCCUCGCUAUUGACCCACCCCGAGACUGCGACAUACGCCUGCUCCAGCAAUCCCGCCCAUCACUACAGUAGUGGUCUCUAUUCGACCCGUCUUGAAACACGGACCAAGGAGUCUAGUAAAUGCGCGAGUCGCACAGUCUUUACCAGGCUCGUGAGGCGAAGCGAACGCAACUGCUGUGAUCUCUUAACCGAGCGCAACAGCGAGGUCUCAACAGGCACUCUUAGCGCAUUCACUGGUACCCGAAAGAUGGUGAUCUAUGCCUGAGCAAGACGAAGCCAGAGGAAACUCUGGUGGAGGUCUGUAGCGGUUCUGACGUGCAAAUCGAUCGUCAGACUUGGGUAUAGGGGCGAAAGACUAAUCGAACCAUCUAGUAGCUGGUUCCUUCCGAAGUUUCCCUCAGGAUAGCAGGGGUGGAGUUGAAUUACACACACGUAGUUGCUCCCGGUAAAGCGAAUGAUUAGAGGUAUUGGGGAUGAAACGUCCUCAACCUAUUCUCAAACUUUAAAUGGGUUCACAGUCUCACUUUCUUAACUGAAGCGAGUCGCUGAAUACCCGCCCCUAGUGGGCCAUUUUUGGUAAGCAGAACUGGCGCUGUGGUAUGAACCAAACGUCGAGUUAAAGCGUCAAAAACACGCUAAUCAGAUCCCAUGAAAGGUGUUUAUUGCUCGAGACAGCAGGACGGUGGCCAUGGAAGUCGGAAUCCGCUAAGGAGUGUGUAACAACUCACCUGCCGAAGCAAUAAGCCCUGAAAAUGGAUGACGCUUAAGCGUGUUGCUUAUACUCGACUGUCUUAGCAAACACGUCACACGCAAUGACGCUAAGACAAGUAGGAAGGCGUGUCGACGGCGCAGAAGGACAUCGCGUAAGCGAGUCUGGAGCCAUCGAUAGUGCAGAUCUUGGUGGUAGUAGCAAAUACUCAAGUGAGACCCUUGAGGACCGACGAGGAGAAGGGUUCCAUGUGAACAGUAGUUGAACAUGGGUCAGUCGGCCCUAAGCCAAGCGCGAAAGCGUUCACACACCGGGUGUACACGGUCGUGGGUCGAUAGCAAUAUCCUCCCUAUGCCACACUCGCGGCGAAAGGAAAUCAGGUUAAUAUUCCUGAACUUGGAAGCGGGGCAGGUUGUCGUACUCCGGUACGGCACCAGAAGCGGUAACGCAAACAAUCUGACAGACGUCAGGCCGAGUCUCGGGAAGAGUUGUCUUUUCUUGUUAAGACUUUGAAUCCCUGGAAUUGGUUCAGCCAGCGAUAGGGAUGCAAAAGUCGUAAAGCACCACGGCUCUUGUGGUGUCCGAUGCACUCGGCCUGGCCCUUGAAAAUCAGUCAUCGUCAGUUCGUGAUGAGUGGGUAUGGUCCUUACGGUCCUGCUCGCUAUGCCCUUCGCUCCAAUCCGUACCCAUAUCCGCAGCAGGUCUCCAAGGUUAACAGCCUCUGGUUCUUAGAACAAUGUAGGUAAGGGAAGUCGGCAAAACCGAUCCGUAACUUCGGGACAAGGAUUGGCUCUGUUGACCGGGAGUUUAGGGUCGCAGUCGCUAGUGUCUGGCGCGUGCCGUGGCGUAGCUUGUCCUGGCCUCACGGCCUAGCUGAGCUGCGCUAUGUGCUGCGUCAUUCCCAGACUGUGACUAGCCUGGGGACCCACGGGUGCGGGCAGCAAUGUCCGUACUCGCCUCAGGAAUAACUAAACUCAGCUAACGGUCGUAACAGAACUGGCACGGACCCCGGGAAUCCGACUGUCUAAUUAAAACAAAGCAUUGUGAUGGCCGCUGAGCG